rnacentral:rRNA from 1 species
AUUGAACGCUGGCGGAAUGCUUUACACAUGCAAGUCGAACGGUAGAGGGGGCAACCCCUCGAGAGUGGCGAACGGGUGAGUAAUAUAUCGGAACGUGCCCAGUCGUGGGGGAUAACGUAGCGAAAGUUACGCUAAUACCGCAUACGAUCUAAGGAUGAAAGCGGGGGAUCGCAAGACCUCGCGCGAUUGGAGCGGCCGAUAUCAGAUUAGGUAGUUGGUGGGGUAAAGGCUCACCAAGCCAACGAUCUGUAGCGGGUCUGAGAGGACGACCAGCCACACUGGAAGUGAGACGCGGUGCAGACCCCUACGGGAGGCAGCAGUGGGGAAUUUUGGACAAUGGACGCAAGUCUGAUCCAGCCAUUCCGCGUGCAGGAUGAAGGCCCUCGGGUUGUAAACUGCUUUUGUACGGAACGAAAAGGUCUCUCUUAAUACGGGGGGCUCAUGACGGUACCGUAAGAAUAAGCACCGGCUAACUACGUGCCAGCAGCCGCCGUAA